rnacentral:rRNA from 1 species
UCGAGAGGCUUUGGCAAUGGGGGAAACCCUGACCAAGCGACGCCGCGUGGAGGAUGAAGGCCCUUGGGUUGUAAACUCCUUUUGUCGGGGAAGAAAUGCGAUCAGGUGAACAAUCUGGUCGUUUGACGGUACCCGGCGAAUAAGCUCCGGCUAACUCCGUGCCAGCAGCCGCGGUAACACGGGGGGAGCAAGCGUUGUUCGGAAUCACUGGGCGUAAAGGGCGUGUAGGCGGUCAAGUAAGUGGAAUGUGAAAUCCCCCGGCUUACCCGGGGACCUGCAUCCCAUACUGCUUGGCUUGAGUACGGGAGAGGAUGAGGGAAUUCCUGGUGUAGCGGUGAAAUGCGUAGAUAUCAGGAGGAACACCGGUGGCGAAGGCGCUCAUCUGGCCCGAUACUGACGCUGAGGCGCGAAAGCUAGGGGAGCAAACGGGAUUAGAUACCCCUGUAGUCC